rnacentral:rRNA from 2 species
UAAAGCGGGUGAAAAGCCCGCUCGCCGGAAGACCAAGGGUUCCUGUCCAACGUUAAUCGGGGCAGGGUGAGUCGACCCCUAAGGCGAGGCCGAAAGGCGUAGUCGAUGGGAAACAGGUUAAUAUUCCUGUACUUGGUGUUACUGCGAAGGGGGGACGGAGAAGGCUAUGUUGGCCGGGCGACGGUUGUCCCGGUUUAAGCGUGUAGGCUGGUUUUCCAGGCAAAUCCGGAAAACCAAGGCUGAGGCGUGAUGACGAGGCACUACGGUGCUGAAGCGACAAAUGCCCUGCUUCCAGGAAAAGCCUCUAAGCAUCAGGUAACAUCAAAUCGUACCCCAAACCGACACAGGUGGUCAGGUAGAGAAUACCAAGGCGCUUGAGAGAACUCGGGUGAAGGAACUAGGCAAAAUGGUGCCGUAACUUCGGGAGAAGGCACGCUGAUAUGUAGGUGAAGCGACUUGCUCGUGGAGCUGAAAUCAGUCGAAGAUACCAGCUGGCUGCAACUGUUUAUUAAAAACACAGCACUGUGCAAACACGAAAGUGGACGUAUACGGUGUGACGCCUGCCCGGUGCCGGAAGGUUAAUUGAUGGGGUUAGCGGUAACGCGAAGCUCUUGAUCGAAGCCCCGGUAAACGGCGGCCGUAACUAUAACGGUCCUAAGGUAGCGAAAUUCCUUGUCGGGUAAGUUCCGACCUGCACGAAUGGCGUAAUGAUGGCCAGGCUGUCUCCACCCGAGACUCAGUGAAAUUGAACUCGCUGUGAAGAUGCAGUGUACCCGCGGCAAGACGGAAAGACCCCGUGAACCUUUACUAUAGCUUGACACUGAACAUUGAGCCUUGAUGUGUAGGAUAGGUGGGAGGCUUUGAAGUGUGGACGCCAGUCUGCAUGGAGCCGACCUUGAAAUACCACCCUUUAAUGUUUGAUGUUCUAACGUUGGCCCGUAAUCCGGGUUGCGGACAGUGUCUGGUGGGUAGUUUGACUGGGGCGGUCUCCUCCUAAAGAGUAACGGAGGAGCACGAAGGUUGGCUAAUCCUGGUCGGACAUCAGGAGGUUAGUGCAAUGGCAUAAGCCAGCUUGACUGCGAGCGUGACGGCGCGAGCAGGUGCGAAAGCAGGUCAUAGUGAUCCGGUGGUUCUGAAUGGAAGGGCCAUCGCUCAACGGAUAAAAGGUACUCCGGGGAUAACAGGCUGAUACCGCCCAAGAGUUCAUAUCGACGGCGGUGUUUGGCACCUCGAUGUCGGCUCAUCACAUCCUGGGGCUGAAGUAGGUCCCAAGGGUAUGGCUGUUCGCCAUUUAAAGUGGUACGCGAGCUGGGUUUAGAACGUCGUGAGACAGUUCGGUCCCUAUCUGCCGUGGGCGCUGGAGAACUGAGGGGGGCUGCUCCUAGUACGAGAGGACCGGAGUGGACGCAUCACUGGUGUUCGGGUUGUCAUGCCAAUGGCACUGCCCGGUAGCUAAAUGCGGAAGAGAUAAGUGCUGAAAGCAUCUAAGCACGAAACUUGC